rnacentral:lncRNA from 1 species
CAUUGAUUGUUAAACCAAUCUUGUAUGCCUGGGAUAAUCCCCACCUGAUCAUUGUGCGUUAUAACUUUGACAUAUUGUUGGAUAUACCUUGUUAAGUUCUGUGAAGAUAUUUUCAUCUAUGUCACUGAGGGAUAUUCCUCUGCAGUUUUUCUUUUUUAAAAAUAUCUUUCUCGUUUUACUCUCAGUGUAAUACUAACAUCAAAAUUAUUUGCAAACACAGUGCUUCCUCUUCAAUUUUCUGAAAGACUAUACGUAUAACUAGUACGAUUUCUUCUUAGGUGUUUGGUAGAAUUGACAAAAGAAUACCUCCGGGCCUAAAGUUUCCUUCCUGUGGGAAAGUUUAACUAUGAAUCCAAUUAAUUUAAUAGAUAUAAGACUAUUCUACUCCCUUUUUUCCUCCAGUGUGAGUUGUUUCAAGUUAUGCAUUAAUUGUAUCCGUAUCAUCCAUUAACGACUAUAGGGUCCUUAAUUGUGUUUCCUUUUUCAUCUUGAUAUAGAUACUUUAUGUCUUCUCUCUUUUUUUUUUUUUACUUUUUUCAAACAACCAUGUUCUGACUUCAAUGAUUUUCCCAUCAUUUUGUUUUCUAUUUUACUGAUCUUUUAAUAUUUAUCAUUUUCUUUGCUCUUUCAAAAACUAUUUCUUUCUUAGAGUGAAAUCGUAGAACACCUGUCUGAGGUCUUUCUGGUUUUCUCUCAUAUAAACAUUUAAUGCUGUGAUAUUCCCUCUCCGCACUUGUGUUGAUCAGCUCAGGCUUCCAUAACAAAAUGUAAUAGACGGGUGGCCUGAACAACAGAAAUUUACUUUCUCACAAUACUGGCAGUUGGGACAUCCCAAGUUGAGGUCCAGUAGGGUUAAAUUCUGACACAACUUUUUUCCCUGGCUUGCAGAGAGCUAUCUUCUUGCUGUGCAGAGGAGACUAGCCAAAUGACCAAGAGACAUUCAAUGUGCACAGCCUGCUUAAUUAUCAGGAAAAGCCUAAACCUUAAUGAGACACCACUGUAUACCUACUGAAAGAGCAGAUGGGCUAUAUCCAGUGCUAUUGAGGACGGUAGCUUGGUAGUACAGAAGUUUGGCAUUUUCCACUAUGGCUGAAGAUACCUGUUUUUCCUACAAUUUAACUUUCCCUCUAGAAGGUAUUUACCCAACAGAAAUGCACACACCUGUGCACAAGGAGGCCCUGGAUGAGGCUGUUGUAACAUCAAACAUAAUCACUGCAAAUGGAAAACACAGAGACAUCUACCCCAGUGGAAGAGAUAAAUAAAUUAUGGAUCAUUGUCUGAUGGAAUACUACACAACAGUAAAAAAUGAACAAGCUAUGGAACAAUACAAAUGAAUCCCAUGAGUGUAGCACUGAGCAAAAUAAGCCAGACAGAACAUGUACUAGAGGAUCCUACUUAGACAACCUUGAAAAGAGCUGGAGAAACAACCAUGACACUCAGGGUGCAUGCUUGGCCGGGACAACUCCGAAGGAAGGUUAGACACGGUUACCUUCAGCAUCAGCACAGUGCCUACGUUACUGGGGCUCAUGGGGACUGGGAACUGCAUGGUACCUGGGCAGGGGUUGUGCUGAGAUCUCUGUUGGAGCGUCCAGCUCUAUUCCAGGUGCAUCUCUGUGUAUGCCAUAGCUGAGAGUGAUGUGCUGAGAUCUCUGCUGGAGCGUCCAGCUCUGUUCCAGGUGCAUCUCUGUGUAUGCCGUAGCUGAGAUCUCUGCUGGAGUGUCCAGCUCUGUUCCAGGUGCAUCUCUGUGUAUGCCGUAGCUGAGAGCGAGGGCUGGAGCACAUGGCCUUCACCCUUGGCAAUGGCUUCCUCCCCGUGAUGAGUUUGCUCUUGGUGUUGGUAGCCAUGGUCCUUCCUGGUCCCCGCCUGGGUCCUCUGACCACCUCUCUUACCUCCUUUGCAGGCUGACAGUCCCAGGCCACCCCUCAAAUGCCAGGGUCUCCUGAAGCUCCGUUUCUUAAUUGAGUGGUUGUCAAAUGUCAGCAUCUGGUGGAACUGGCUGGAGAGCUCCUUACUGUCCAUGUCACUGGACCCCACGCUCAGAGAUUUUAGAUCAGUAAGGCUGAGGCAGAGCCUGAGAAUCUGCAUUUGAACUCGUCUGUAGGCAAGGUUGAUGCUGCUGGUUUGGAGACCACACUUUAUCUCCAACUCACAUCCCUUUUCCUCUCAGAACCCACAUUUCCAAAUGGCCACUGGUAGUCCCACCAGAACCCCAAAGCUGUGGGUCCCUGCCCUCACGUCUGGGUUAGCGACCGCACUGCCCACCGCUGUCCCAAACCCGUCCUGUUUCUCGACUGCAACACCCAGUCUGCGCCGCAUCCUGCCAGCUCCCGUUCAACGUUCCUCUCUCCCAUCUCCCACCAAUGCUGGGCCCUUCACGCCUCCAAAUGGGUGCCAGGUCUGCUGGUGGCUCCAGCCUGUCCAGGCUCUCCUUUCCUUCCCAUGCAGACUCCCGUGAUGAGCCAUAAAGCUUUCCCACUCAGAUCCUAUUGCUCCUAAGGCAAACCAGGCAAUCCCUUUCCCAUCAUCCCCCCUAAACGCCCUGCUCCACCCCAAGCCUGCCUGCAACCUCAGCUCCAUCCAGAGAAUGUGCUGGGCCAUCUCCAUUGUCUCUUUCUGCCUGAAAUAUCUGUCCAGCCCAAUCCACCUGUGGGUGCGACCAGCUCUCCCGUCUCCCCAGGCCCCUCCAGGACCCACUCUGAUGUGACUGCUUCUUCCUCUGUGCCAUCAGCAAGCUGUGCCAUUAGUUGCCCCUCGCCACUCUGGUCCCAUCAAAGGGCAGGUGUUUGACCCCACGUCUGUGUCUCUGCAGAGCCGAGGGCUGGACUUUUUCUAGGUUGUUUCUGCACCCUGAGCCAGGGCCUGUCCCUUCGUACCCUGUGCUCGGGAUCUGGUGGUGAGGAUCUGACCCUGAGAAGGCCAUCUGAGGUGAUGAAGUAGACAGUGGUGCUCUCUGGGACCCUCCGUUUGCAAUGACAACCUGUCCCUCUGGUCUAAACGAGCCUGCAGCCCAAGGGCAGGGCUGGCUGGGCAGGAAUGUGUCCCCAUUUCCCCUGCUGAGAGCAAGCCAUGAGCGCCUACUGCAUACACAGCCCUGCCGCUCCCUCCCAGUCUCCUUUGACUCUGGUAGCCCUGACGGUAGCUGCUUGACCUCUUCCAGGCGAGGGUGAUGACUCACCCAAGACCUCUCGGCCAGGAUCUGCUUUCACAAGGUCUCUGGGCUCCUGACCAGAUCAGUGCAGAUACUAACCAGUGGGCACCAAGGACCACCCCGCAUUCAGCUCUGACCUCUGGUGCAGUCAAGCGACAGCAGGGAGGGGACAGGGGCGGGUGUAGGAGGUCCCAGUGAGCAUCGGGUCAGUGCUGCAAGUCUGGAGCUGGAUGCUUCUGGUUUUAGUGGAAGCAGGGAGGGGGUCAGCUUGCUCACCUGCCCCCCAGCCCAUGUCUGGCUGUAUCAGCCCCGCAGCGCAUCAAAGUACUUGCGCGUGGAGUCACCCUGCUGGGAGAACGCCCUCCUGGUGCGGUGGGACUCAGGGCCUUGAGUGGGCAGUGAGGCGAGGUCGUUUGUUUUCCAGGCUCCGCAGUGCACUGGGACUCCCUCUUCUCCCGAGUCGCCAGUUGCCACCCUUUGCCCAUCGUACCUCACUCUCAGGUCCAAGGAGCCAAGCCCAGAAGUCCCUCAGCUUCCCAGUGACAAGCACAGCAUCUAAGAACAGACCAUGUGGCCCUCAGUGGACAUGUCCCCCGGGGUGGCGGGGGGGGGGGGACUCCUGGGUCCAAAGCCCUUCCCUCAGCCCCUGCCCACCCCCACCUAGAGCCUAUCAUUCUCCUGAGCUGGAGUGAUUGACUAGGAACUAAAAGCCUCCUCUGGCCCCUCCCUCCUGUGGGUCCUGACCUGGCUCAGGUCACUCCCCAUGAGUUUGAGAAGGGCACCCUAAAUGUAUAUCUGUUCCUGGAGGAGAGGGGACAGGCAUGACAUUUGAAACUUCCUGAUUUUAAAAAUCCUAAACCCCAAUCAUGUUUGACCAGGCAAGCAAACAGAAGGGGUUUGGGGUCAACCGCGAGCAUGCCCCCUCUACCCAUCGCUGACCCAACCUCUGCUGGCGGUUUGGUGUCUUCACGUCCAACCCCGUUGGGGUGGGGGAGGUGGUGUGGGUUUGCGGGUGCAUUCUGUUUAAUUUGAUUUUUCCUUGCAAACAUAUGAUGACGCGCUACACCAGGUCUGCAAUUUUUUUUAAACAAAUCUGUGUGAUCAUUGUCUUUCUGGACCAGCCUUUCAAUGACUCCAGUGUAUGGGGAGACCACAAUUCAUUCGUUGAACUCUAUGGAAAUGGAUAUUCAGGAUAUCGCACCAAAAUGUUUCACUAUGAAAAGACCACUUCACAUGAGGUGGAGUGCACAAAUUUUAAAGUGUUAACUGUAGGUACAACAGUGUACAGCAAGUCUCUAGAGCUUACUUGUUUUGUUUGAAACUUUAUGCCUGUUAAUAGGUAACCCUGCCCAGCCCUGGCCACCACCGUUCCACUGUGUGAGUCUAAGAACUUGAGUAUUUUAGAGACCUCAAAUGCGUGGAAUCAUGUAAUUUUGUCUUCCUGUGAUUGGCUGGUUUCCCUGAGCAUUUGGACUCCAGGGUCACUCACGUUUUUGCAUAUUGCAGAAUUUCCUUCUUUUUGCAGACUGGGUGUCACUCCACCGUAGGCACAGACCACAGCUUCUCUGCUAAUCCAUCCAUGGACAUUUCAGCUGUUUCCACAUCUGGACUUUGCGAAGGAUGCUGCAGAGCACACAGGAGGCUAAAAUCUCUUCCAAAUCCUGACUUUGAUUCUUUUUGAGAAAUACCCAGAAAUGUGAUUGCUGCAUCUCACAGUAGUUCUAUUUUUAAUUUUUUUUUGAGAAAUUUCUGUAUUUUCCCCCAAAGAGCUGCAGCGCUUUGCAUUCCCACCAGGGUGUACAAUCGCUCCAAUCCCUCCACACACUCACCAACAUUUGCUGUCUUUUCUUUUUCUUUUUUUGGUUUUUUUCAGGGCCUCGCCUAUGGCGUACGGAGGUUGUCAGAGGUUCCCAGGCCAGGGGUUGAAUCAGAGCUACAGCUGCCUGCCUACACCACAGCCACGGCAAUGCUGGAUCCGAGCCACAUCUGCAACCUACACCACAGCUCAUGGCAAAGAUUAGUGAUACUGAAGAUUUUUUAAUAUACUUGUUGACUGUUUGUAUGUCUUCUUUGGAGAAUUGUCUCUUCAAGUCCUUAGCUCACUUGUAAAUUGUUCUUUUAAAUUUUUGAGUUGUAGGAAUUCCUUACAUAUUUGGAGAUUGAUGAUCAGAUAUACGGUCUGAAAUAUUUUCUCUUACCGCUUUUUCACUCUGUUGAGAGUUUCCUCGGCUGUGCAGAAGCUUUUUAGUUCGACAGAGUCCUGCUUCUUUACCUUUUGUUGUUGCUGUCUAUGCCAAGACCAAUGCCUUGAAGCUUUUCUCUUAUAUUUUUCCUAGGAUUUUUACCAUUUGGGGUUUUAUGUUUAAGUCUUUAAUCCAUUUUGAGUUGAUUUUUGUGUGUGGUGUAAUGUAAGGGUCCAAUUUCAUUCUUUUGCACAUGGAUACACAGUUUUCCCAUAGAUGGACGUUAUUCCAUGUCAUUCCAUGCAAAAACCAAAAGAAAGCAGUAGCUUUACUUAUUUCAGACUAAAUAGACUUUAGGCCAAAGAUUGUAACAGGAGGCAAAGAAGGCUGUUCUAUGAUGAUAAGGGGUCAACCCAACACAAGGAUACGGUGUUUAAAAAUAUGUGUGCACCUAACCUAGAAGCACCUAAAUAUAUUACGUAAAUCUUAACAGGCCUGAAGGGAAAAACAGUCAAUGAAUACUCCACUUUCAACAACAAGUAAAUUACCCAGACCAAAAAAAAAAAAAAAA